GAUUCUUUUUUCCUACCUUUACAAUUUGGUUUUUUAAAUCUUUUUUGUUUUAUUGAUCCUGGUUGUGCAACCUAAAACUCCAAGGGCCCUUGAAUGGCUCAUGGCAAAUCUGGUGAUGAGUCACAGGUGUGUGUGAUCAAGGUGGGUUGGAGUUUUGAUCCUUUAAAAAGGAUGAACAGCUGGACUUGGAGCGGAAAAAAGAGGCGCACUACAAGAGCUGCACAAGCAGUGUUGGAAUACCAGCGAUGGGAGCCACACGUGUGGUGUUUAGCAGCAGCAGCAGCAGCAGCAGCAGCAGCAGCAGCAGCAGCAGCAGCAGCAGCAGCAGCAGCAGCAGCAGCAGCAGCAGCAGCAGCAGCAGCAGCAGCAGCAGCAGCAGCGGUUGUGGUGCUUGAAGCAUGCCAGCCCCAGGAAUUGGACAUUGUAGAGUCUGGGCUCGGCCACAUGACCAGGGACAGCAAAGUGGAACCAGUGGAGCAUGGAACUGGAAAGUGGAGAGGGGACGCGACGAACAACAGCAGAGGGGUGUGGUUGCGACCCACCCCUCUUUCAGAUAAAUGGGGUUUGGACUGCAUGCUCCUCUAAUCAUCCUGGAGCAUUUGGACUGCUGGAGGCCGGACACUAUAGGACUGGACACAAUAAACAUUUUGAAAACUUGCA